rnacentral:lncRNA from 10 species
AUGAUGCAACAGCUAACACCAGCCAGCCUCCUCUGGACUGAAUUCAGGCCGGGAACGCGGGGGUUUCCUGGGCCUGCAGCCCGCGGGGCACGUUCGACCCACAUUCUGCUGUGUGUGUGCACCGUGCGACACGUCACCCUCCCAUCUUUGCACAUGCCCUUGAAUAUUUCUGUGCUUCUGAUUCAUCUGGUCCACAGUUUACACCUCGAGAUGAAUAUUUACCUGAUUGGCAAGCAGAGACCGUCCCUGUUCUUCGGACUUCAAACGCGCUUCCACCUUGGAAACUCCGGCCUGUGUGGAACACACCAAACUCCUCAGUCAGUGCCCAAGGGGCAGGGCCUGUUUUGACAAUCACCACCCAGGUGAACUUUAGGGGAUGGUGGGAAAACUUGUUUAAAAUCGUCAGUUCCACAACUGUGAUCGCUUGCAAUUUAAACAGGUCUCCCUUAAAUAAAUAGUCUUGACUCAAAAUAUCUCCCCUUCUCUUUUUCUUGUCAUUUGCUCCAAUCUCUCAUCUUGUGUCCAACGAGACGCGUACUGUCCUGGCAUCAGAGCAGAGGCUUCUGACCCCUGUGCCCUCUGGCCCCUGCUGCCCCUCCUCCCCUCCCGGCCACGUGCCCUCCGGAACCCUGGAAGUUGAACUGUGGCACCUGCAGAGGUUUCAUUUGACCUGCCCGGCUGCUGGGUCUUUUUCUCUGGCACCUCAUCAAAUCUGUCACUUCUGGUCCUGACCCCAGGCAACUCCCCAUCCGCUGGGCUUCUCAAUAUAUUUUUAGUCCCCUUGUAGAGAGGAGGAUGUUCCAGAACUUCUGGAUGUAUUUCUUGCACCAUGCUGGGGAUGGUAGAAUACACGUGGCUACCACCAACCCCACAGAGAAAGCUCCUCAAAUUUCCUGUCCAGACUAGAAGCUCCAUGGUGCCAGGGCCAUGCUGAACACAGAGUUUCCCUGAAAGACCAUCAGCCUUCCCAGACUUUUCCCCGGAGAGUGAGGUGCAACCUUCCUGCUGCUGGGUCCCCUCGAAAUAUCUGUUCCACCUUCAGCUUCUUCCCUAGCAUUUGGUGGAUAAGGAGUAAAAGGUGUGAAGAUUUCUGGGGCAUGCGCAUUUCCAUCUUCCCCCAGCAUUCUCAAAUCAGCCGAAUUCUACUUUCACAUUUCUUCUCUGAGGGGUGGAAUUUAUAAUGUCAUCUAGAUUUUCUUUUUCCUUUAACGUGUUUGGUACAAAUCUUGUGCAUAGUGUUCUAAGCUUAGUUCUUGAUAUUCAAACCCCACCUUCUUUAGUCCCUAAGAAUGUAUUGUAUUAUUUCCCCCUUAAACUCUGGUUCUUGUCCAUCAAAAUCAGUUUGGUUUUCAGGCUAUAGUUUCUGUUACCUGUUUAAGGAAUCCAUCCAGAUAUUAAAGUUUCCUAUUUCUUCCAGGCUGUAUUUCCAUCCCACUGAGACCAGAGCCUAUCAUUGUCACUAGAAACAAGGGGAAAGAUGAGGGGUGAAAUGGGUGAAAAAAAAUGGAGUAAGUUCUAUCAAAUUGAUGUCACAAAUAUG